AUUCCGCACGGAGGUUCGAAAUUUUUCCUGCAUUUUUCCUUUUUUUCGGGUGGUUCCUUUUAGCAAAAUGCAAUCCAUAUAAUGUCCUCUAUGAUUUGACAUUAAACACUAAGUUUAAUUUUGUUUGUUUGUUUGUUUGUUUGUUUCAGGACUGACAUGGGUGAACCUAGCUGGAAGCAAUUCGUCGCUUCUCGAUUCAUCGAUUCAGACAGGCAACUUAAGUUCGAACUGGUUCGGAGCGGGGCUGCGUAAAUGAUCCAGUUCCCUGUGGACCCGUCCGUUCCGUGACGUUUUAGCUCCUUGGUUUCAUGGGGGAGAGUUCGAACCCGGUUCUGGCGUCAUGAGCCCCGACACGUGGACCAUGUGCUGUUUUUCACUUUGGCCGUAGGGAUGUUGUGAGGAAGGAUCAAGCUGAGCCCCGGCAUGCUCUCUCACGUGUUCCCCGCCCUCGAAGCAACCUUUUGGGUUCUCUUUAGUGUGUUUGCUCCUGCUCUUCGAGGUAUAUCUCAAACACGUGACUGAUAAAUGGAAAAUAUACUCAAGUUCACCAUCUUCUUUUGCUGUUUUUUACACUGCAUCCACUGUGAAAUGCCCGACCACGGCUGCACUCUGAACUGUACUGGUGAGUACAUAGUUCAUUAGUUAACGGUAGCAAGUAUACAUCGAGAUAUCGAAAAAAAUUUC
rnacentral:lncRNA from 1 species